rnacentral:rRNA from 1 species
AACAGGAUUAGAUACCCUGGUAGUCCAUGCCGUAAACGAUGAGUGCCAGGUGUUGGAGGGUUUCCGCCCUUCAGUGCCGGAGCUAACGCAUUAAGCACUCCGCCUGGGGAGUACGACCGCAAGGUUGAAACUCAAAGGAAUUGACGGGGGCCCGCACAAGCGGUGGAGCAUGUGGUUUAAUUCGAAGCUACGCGAAGAACCUUACCAGGUCUUGACAUCUUGCGCCAACCCUAGAGAUAGGGCGUUUCCUUCGGGAACGCAAUGACAGGUGGUGCAUGGUCGUCGUCAGCUCGUGUCGUGAGAUGUUGGGUUAAGUCCCGCAACGAGCGCAACCCUUGUUACUAGUUGCCAGCAUUAAGUUGGGCACUCUAGUGAGACUGCCGGUGACAAACCGGAGGAAGGUGGGGACGACGUCAGAUCAUCAUGCCCCUUAUGACCUGGGCUACACACGUGCUACAAUGGACGGUACAACGAGUCGCGAACUCGCGAGGGCAAGCAAAUCUCUUAAAACCGUUCUCAGUUCGGACUGCAGGCUGCAACUCGCCUGCACGAAGUCGGAAUCGCUAGUAAUCGCGGAUCAGCAUGCCGCGGUGAAUACGUUCCCGGGCCUUGUACACACCGCCCGUCACACCAUGAGAGUUUGUAACACCCAAAGUCGGUGGGGUAACCUUUUAGGAGCCAGCCGCCUAAGGUGGGACAGAUGAUUAGGGUGAAGUCGUAACAAGGUAACC